AGGCUGAAUUUCAGAGCCUUCCACAACAUGCAAUUACAGAAAAACAGAACUGAGAGGAAUCUCUUGAGGUCAGCUGUUCAAAGGCAGUAUCAAAUCACCCAUAGGGGAGUUCCCAAGGUAUUUCUGGCAGUCUGGAACUCUCACUGAGUAAUUAUCAGGGUGUGCACUAACAUAAAUACCCCUACACCAAAGGAGACACGAAUCUUUCUGAUCAGCUCUUGGUAUCCUUGUGAUUCUAGCAAUACUUAAAAGGCUCAGUUGUGGGAGAGGAAUACUGAAAUGUGCAUGAACCACUGGCUACAGAUUUUAUUACCAGCUCUGUGCUACAGCUGCUAUAUGGAGAGAAGUUGGAGUGCAAAAGAUCACCUGCAGUCCAGAUUGGAAGAAUGCUGGGGCUUUCCAAACAUUCAAGUCCUUCAAAAAUGCAUUCCCCUUUCUCACAGCUACAAAGUUGUUGGCCCCUUUUGAAUGGUGGUACAGUCCUGGAGGCAUGAAGUGCCAACUUUGUGCAGGGCAAAUCCCACUGAGUAUCACUGAACCCUGGUACUGAUAAAACAGGUACUGCCUUCCUGGAGGCAGGGUGGGACAGGCUCUUAUGCCCCAUUUAGUGCAGAGGUUGCCUAAGGCUGCAGAGCACUGUACCAGUAAAGGAUACCA